UUGUGUUUAAAAGAAUAGCCUUGAUCGUCAAGACAUAUCAGACAUGUUAGAUUUUUACUCUAUGAUCAAACUUAUUAACUAAGAAUGUGAACACAUUCACAUUCAUUCCAAUUAACAUUAAACGACACUCUCCCAAUGAAUAAGGUCAAUAAUCAUGCUCUUAAUUGCAGUCAGUGAGAUGAAACGCUGUACUCCUAGGCCGCAUGCAUAUUUGUACUCAUAAAUUGACUACCAAUAUCAAGAAGUACAUACCUACCUCAGAAAAUGUAGCAGAUGCUUUAAGAUAAGAUUCGUCACAUAAUGCCGAGUAAUAGGUUGCAAUUUAAUUUCUUGGCCUUGGAAAUUAGACAUACAGAUUUUACACUUAAAUGAGCAUUUUGAUAUCCACUAACAAAAGUAAUUCACAUCUCUGAAGCUAACUAUUUUAUGUGGAGAAUACCUUACUUUAGAAAACACAUAUUGAAACUGCUUUGUUUUUCUUUCCUUACAUACACUCACAUAUACAUACCACCUGAAAGCU
rnacentral:lncRNA from 1 species